rnacentral:tRNA from 1 species
AGAGAGAUGGCUGAGUGGUUUAAAGCGGUAGACUGUAAAUCUAUUUAUUAUCCAAUUACCAUAGGUUCGAAUCCUAUUCUCUCUA